rnacentral:rRNA from 1 species
GAUGAACGCUGGCGGCGUGCUUAACACAUGCAAGUCGAACGACGAAGCCCAGCUUGCUGGGUGUUAUAGUGGCGAACGGGUGAGUAAGACGUGAGUAAACCGGACUUUACUCUGGGAUAAGGCUGGACGAAUGGGUACAGAAGUUGAUAUGACUUAUCAUCUAAGGGUGGGGGGAGGGGAGCUUAUUUGGUCUUGGAUGGAGUUGAGGCGUAUCAGCUUGUUGGAGUAGUAUUGGUACACCAAGGCGACGACGGGUAUCCGGCGUGGGAGGGGGACCGGCCACCCUGGGACUGAGACACGGCCCAGUCUCCUACGGGGGGCAGCGGUGGGGAAUAUGGCACAAUGGGCGCAAGCCUGAUGCAGCGACGCCGCGUGUGGGAUGACGGCCUUCGGGUUGUAAACCGCUUUCAGUAGGGAAGAAGCGAGAGUGACGGUACCUGCAGAAUAAGCGCCGGCUAACUACGUG